rnacentral:rRNA from 1 species
UUGGGGAAUAACUCAGGGAAACUUGAGCUAAUACCGCAUAAUGCAGCGGCUCGACAUCGAGACAGUUGUUAAAGCGGGGGAUUGGAGCAAUCCGACCUCGCGCCUAAAGAGAAGCCUGCGGCAGAUUAGCUAGUUGGUAAGGUAAUGGCUUACCAAGGCAACGAUCUGUAACCGGCCUGAGAGGGCGGUCGGUCACACUGACACUGACAUACGGGUCAG